AAGGACUCAGUCCUAACCUUACCGUUAGUUAGUGCUAAGUAUAUACAUGCAAGUAUUCGCACUCCAGUGCAAAUGCCCUCAAUUCCUUACCAAGACGACAGGAGCGGGCAUCAGGCACACCCAUCAGACGUAGCCCAAGACGCCUUGCUCAGCCACACCCCCACGGGCACUCAGCAGUAAUUAACAUUAGGCAAUAAGUGCAAACUUGACCUAGUUAUAGCAUCCUACAGGGCCGGUAAAUCUUGUGCCAGCCACCGCGGUCACACAAGAGGCCCAAAUUAACUGUACACGGCGUAAAGAGUGGGCACUUACUAUCCAAACUACUAGGGUUAAAGUACAUCUAAGCUGUCAUAAGCCCCAGAUGCCUCUAAAACCACCCCACAAGACGACCCUAGCACCUACGACCAACUAAACCCCACGAAAGCCAGGGCACAAACUGGGAUUAGAUACCCCACUAUGCCUCGCCCUAAAUCUUAAUACUUACCCUACCGAAGUAUUCGCCUGAGAACUACGAGCAUAAACGCUUAAAACUCUAAGGACUUGGCGGUGCCCCAAACCCACCUAGAGGAGCCUGUUCUAUAAUCGAUAACCCACGCUACACCCCACCACCCUUCGCCAAAGCAGCCUACAUACCGCCGUCGCCAGCCCACCUCCCUUGAGACCAACAGUGGGCCCAAUAGCUCCCUCGCUAAUAAGACAGGUCAAGGUAUAGCCCAUAGGGUGGAAGAAAUGGGCUACAUUUUCUAAAAUAGAAAACUACGAAAGGAGGCAUGAAACAACCUCCGGAAGGCGGAUUUAGCAGUAAAACGGGACAAUAAGGCCCCAUUUAAGACGGCCCCGGGGCACGUACAUACCGCCCGUCACCCUCCUCACAGGCUAUCAACCCCCUAUACCUAAUGCCUUAGUAAGCUGAAGAUGAGGUAAGUCGUAACAAGGUAAGUGUACCGGAAGGUGCACUUAGCAUACCA
rnacentral:rRNA from 1 species